ACAUCAUGUAGACCCCCAAACUCUAGAGGCAGAGUAAGGCAGUACACCACGGGUCCAACACACUCCAUGAUCUAAAAAAGUCCCACAUAACAGGGGCUCAACUUCCCUCUUUUCCUAAACCGUAUUUUUUUCUUGUGGAGAAAAAUCUUGAAGAAGACUUGGUCACCAACGACGAAUUCUAAAGGUCUCCUAUGAUUAUCAACGUAACUCUUUUGGUGACUCUGGGUGGUAGCCAAGUUCCUACAGAUGAUCAC
rnacentral:lncRNA from 1 species